AGGACGAACGCUGGCGGCGUGCUUAACACAUGCAAGUCGAGCGGAAAGGCCCUUCGGGGUACUCGAGCGGCGAACGGGUGAGUAACACGUGAGCAACCUGCCCCUGACUCUGGGAUAAGCCUAGGAAACUGGGUCUAAUACCGGAUAGUACCCCUCGUUUCAUGGUGGGGGUGGAAAGUUUUUCGGUUGGGGAUGGGCUCGCGGCCUAUCAGCUUGUUGGUGGGGUGAUGGCCUACCAAGGCGACGACGGGUA
rnacentral:rRNA from 1 species